rnacentral:rRNA from 1 species
GAUGAACGCUGGCGGCGUGCUUAAUACAUGCAAGUCGAGCGAACGGACGCGAAUCUUGCUUCUCUGAUGUUAGCGGCGGACGGGUGAGUCACACGUGUAUCCCCUACCUAUAUGACUGGUAUAACUUCGGGAAACCGGAGCUUAUACCGGAUAAUCUUUUGCACCGCAUGGUUCAAUAGUAAAAUACGGUCUUGCUGUCACUUCUAGAUGCAUCCGCGCUGCAUUAGAUAGUUGGUAAGGUAACGGCUUACCAAGGCAACUAUGCAUAGCCGACCUGACGGACGGAUAGGCCACCCGGGAACGUGGACACGGUCCAGAGGACUACGAGACGGAGCAGUAGGCAAUCGGCCGCAAUGGGCGAAAGCCUGGCGGAGCAACGCCGCGUGAGUGAUGAAGGCCUCCCGAGCGUAAAGCUCUGUUAUGAGGGAAGAACAGAUGUGGAAGUAGCUGUGCACAGCGUGACGGUACCUAAUCAGAAAGCCACGGCUAACUACGUG